UACGGAGGGGGCUAGCGUUGUUCGGAAAUACUGGGCGUAAAGCGCACGUAGGCGGCGCCGCAAGUCAGGGGUGAAAUCCCGGGGCUCAACCCCGGAACUGCCCUUGAAACUGCAGUGCUAGAAUCUUGGAGAGGCGAGUGGAAUUCCGAGUGUAGAGGUGAAAUUCGUAGAUAUUCGGAAGAACACCAGUGGCGAAGGCGACUCGCUGGACAAGUAUUGACGCUGAGGUGCGAAAGCGUGGGGAGCAAACAGG
rnacentral:rRNA from 1 species